UACGAAGGGGGCUAGCGUUGCUCGGAAUCACUGGGCGUAAAGGGUGCGUAGGCGGGUCUUUAAGUCAGGGGUGAAAUCCUGGAGCUCAACUCCAGAACUGCCUUUGAUACUGAAGAUCUUGAGUUCGGGAGAGGUGAGUGGAACUGCGAGUGUAGAGGUGAAAUUCGUAGAUAUUCGCAAGAACACCAGUGGCGAAGGCGGCUCACUGGCUCGUAACUGACGCUCAUGCACGACAGCGUGGGGGAUCAAACAGG
rnacentral:rRNA from 1 species